rnacentral:rRNA from 1 species
AACGAACGCUGGCGGCAGGCUUAACACAUGCAAGUCGAGCGCCCCGCAAGGGGAGCGGCAGACGGGUGAGUAACGCGUGGGAACAUACCCUUUGGUUCGGAAUAACUCAGGGAAACUUGAGCUAAUACCGGAUACGUCCGUAAGGAGAAAGAUUUAUCGCCAAAGGAUUGGCCCGCGUCCGAUUAGCUAGUUGGUGAGGUAACGGCUCACCAAGGCUACGAUCGGUAGCUGGUCUGAGAGGAUGAUCAGCCACAUUGGGACUGAGACACGGCCCAAACUCCUACGGGAGGCAGCAGUGGGGAAUAUUGGACAAUGGGCGCAAGCCUGAUCCAGCCAUGCCGCGUGAUCGAUGAAGGCC